rnacentral:rRNA from 1 species
CCUACGGGUGGCAGCAGUAAGGAAUAUUGCUCAAUGGGGGAGAGCCUGAAGCAGCAACGCCGCGUGAAGGAUGACGGUUUUAGGGUUGUAAACUCCUUUUUUUAGAGAAGAUAAUGACGGUAUCUCACGAAUAAGCACCGGCUAACUCCAUGCCAGCAGCCGCGGUCAUACGGAGGGUGCAAGAGUUACUCGGAAUCACUGGGCGUAAAGCGUGCGCAGGCGGGCUUGUAAGUCAGAUGUGAAAUCCUGUAGCUUAACUACAGAACUGCAUUUGAAACUAGGAGUCUAGAGUGUGGGAGAGGUAGGUGGAAUUCUUGGUGUAGCGGUAAAAUCCGUAGAUAUCAAGAGGAAUACUCAUUGCGAAGGCGACCUACUGGAACACUACUGACGCUCAUGCACGAAAGCGUGGGUAGCAAACAGGAUUAGAUACCCGAGUAGUC